GUACGGUCUGGAUUGGCUUCCUCCUUUUCACUUAUUUUAAUAUUUUCAGAGAAACCAUCUUCACCGUAAGGAAAGAUCAAAGGAUAUUGUAAUGGAAUAAAGGAAGUAUGUGUCUCAUGAAGUCUUUCCAAAUGACCUGAUUCCUUUCUAAUGAUAAUAUCUCUUCCAUAUUCUAUACUGUCAGUAUCUCCGACAAUUAGAGCUGCCACCUCAUCAACUUCUGGUAUGUUGUGCAUCCUAGCAUCCUUUGAACGAUUUCUCGUCAACCUCAAACAAAAAUCAGAUGUUACAUUUUGUUCAACUAAAUCACGAACUUUUCUGAAAUUCUUUGCGAGACGAUUAUGUCUAUCAAUCAUCUGCGUUGCUUGGGAAAUAUUACGUAACAGGGUAGCUUUCUUUUUUUUUUCUUCAUGUUUUGGCCAUGGGAAAUCUGAUGUUAUAUUUUGUUCAACUAAAUCUCCGAUAAUAUCCCUUUACCUUGCUUGGGAAUAUUUACGUAACAGGGUAGCUUUCUUUUUUGUUCCUGUUUUGGCAUUCUUGUAAUUGACUCUUUCAGCUGGGGUUUUGGCACUCCUUGUGCUGAAAUCUCCAGGCUUUCAGUAAUUUAAUCCAUUUUAGUUUCUUAAAAAAAAAAACUAUUUUUGGUAGAAAAAUAAAAAAAUUAAAUUUACCACAACCACAUGGGCCCUGAUUGGGAUUGAGCUUAUGAAAAAUAUCUUUACAAAUAAAUAAGCUUUUAUAUUAACUCAUAAGUUUUUAUUAAUGAAAAUUUUAUCUUCCUAAGUUGUAUUUUCAUAAACUAUUUUAACAAGCUUGUGAAUAAAAAAUAAAAGCGUAUUUAUUUUCAUUAGUUAUUUUGCAUAAGCUCAAUCCAAUCGGCCAAAAGGCUUUCUCCGGUAUUUCCACGCUAUUUCUUUCAUGGAUGGCUUUGAGAUCCGACUUCAAGUCUGGGACUGGGAGAUGCAUGUAACGCCACCUGCGGGCGUAGUUUUGUCUAUUUGAAAUUGUCUUUGGAUAACUCAAAUAUGAGAAAGUAAUGUCGAUAAAUCAUUUUAUAAGAAAUGUACUCAAUUUAAAAGAUUUUACUCCAUGUUAAAGUUUUAUAGUAACUUAAUAAAGGAGGAAACUCUUCUUUCUAAUGAAAACUUGCUGUUCAGAACUCCUCACCAGUUACAAACUUACAACCAACAAAAUUGUAUUGCAAAUAACAUAAAAAACUUUCAUAGUAUGGUUGUCAUAUUCAAUCAGCGCUCCUUGAAUGUGCAAUAUUCUUUGGCGAUCUCAUCCAGAAGUAUACUAAGGAUAUGCUUUUCUGUAUCCCUUAUAACAUCAUAUUUUUCGAUAAAUGCAGAUGUCUCAUCAUUCCAACCUAAAUCCCACAUGCAAUCUAUGUCAGGCCAUUUUUCAUAGAUAUCAUGCUCAAGCAUCUUAGGCAGGUAGUCCUCAACAUCAACUUUGCUACUCUUUUUCCUUCCGUAGAAUUUAAUCUUCUCCAUGUCCUCGUUCAGCUUCUUAACCAAGUCAUCUAGAGAUCUUAUCAAGUUAACAGUACUAGUGAUUGAUGAUAUUUUUGAACAAGUAUGAACUUUGAGUUCCUGCCGUAUCCCCUUUCUUUUCAUCACUUCAUAGCCGCAAUCUAAUAUCAGCUUGCUACGUUGGUCUUGACUGUCUUGAUGAUUACCUUGAAGAAUACCGAACGGGAUGUUUAGUCUGAAAAGUGCUUCUGCAGUGUUGACGAAUAAUUGACUCGUGACCAAAAUCCACUUGAGGUGGUUUUCACUUUCUGUUAGUGGUUGUUGGAUGCUCAUAUUUUGAUUUUGUUGUUUC
rnacentral:lncRNA from 1 species